rnacentral:rRNA from 1 species
AAUCGAAGCAGUGAACUUAAGCCCCAGUAAACGGCGGCCGUAACUAUAACGGUCCUAAGGUAGCGAAAUUCCUUGUCGGGUAAGUUCCGACCCGCACGAAAGGCGUAACGAUUUGGGCACUGUCUCAACAACAGACUCGGUGAAAUUGUAAUUCCGGUGAAGAUGCCGGAUACCUGCGACAGGACGGAAAGACCCCAUGGAGCUUUACUGUAGCUUGACAUUGGGUCUUGGUACUACAUGUACAGGAUAGGUGGGAGGCGUUGAAACCAGGACGACAGUUUUGGCGGAGCCAUCCUUGGGAUACCACCCUUGUAGUACUGGGACUCUAACCAUAGGCCAUGAAUCUGGUCUUGGGACACUGUCAGGUGGGCAGUUUGACUGGGGCGGUCGCCUCCCAAAAGG